rnacentral:lncRNA from 1 species
CAACAGUAAAUUCUCAGACAAACUUAGAGACCAAAGAUGGAGGAGGAAGCCAGAGUCUCUUCGCCUCAAUCUGAGCAGGAAGGUCCAGGCCCCAAAUCCACUUGUCAGGGUUCAAGGAUGAGUUUGGGCCCAGGAGCCAGCCUCUCCAAGACAUUUGUUUGGUGGAAAGGUGUUACCCAGCCACUUCAAAGAAAUUGUCCUCUUGUCUUCCCAUCCCAAUAAAUGUAAUAUGGAGAGGCUUAGAUGCCCAGUGCAGGGGCAAAAAAAUGCUUGUAGUUGCAAUCACUGUAUCACAGAUGUGCACUUUCAAGGACAUGCACAAAUGUGUAAGUGUAAAAUCAAUCAGAGAAAAUUGAAAACUCCUCUAUAUCUUUCAGUGUUUUGACCCAGGCUUUCCUCCUUCUUUGCAGUCUCUGAAGAAAAGGUUACCACCUUCCUUGCCAACAUUAACCCCAGUACUAAUGCCUUGGACCCAUUCCUUCCUUUAUCCUCCAUGAUCUAGCUCAUCAAUCAUCACCUCUCAUAUAGCUCCAGUCCCCCCUCCCCCCCCUCAACCUAAAAACAUGUUUAGGUCCCCCCAAUGCUACUUUACCUUCCCUAAAAGUUAAUUUACUGGACCUUGCUAUGACUUUACUUCUCCCUUGCCCUUAAUGGUUGGACUGCCUCACCAUCACCUUAUUCCUCAGUCCCUUGGAAUCUAAUUUCUGUCCUCAUUAGUCUACUAGAAUUUUUCUUUCCAAGGUCAUUAAAAAUCUCCCAAUCACCAAAUCUGCAGGCUUUAUUUUGAGCCCUUGUGCUCAGCCUAACUUUUGACCGCCCCACUCCUCUUUUUGAUACCAUCACUCCCUUAUAUUCUGUGCCACUGGAGACUCCUUUGUCAAUAUCAUCUAUUUCCAUGGCAUCAGUUAUGACCUCUACAUAGAUCAUUCACAAAUCUCUAUCUCCUGAUCUAAUCUUUAUCCAGAGUUCCAGUUCCCUAUUUCUAACUAUCAACUAGGUACCUAGAUAUCCCACUAAUACUUCAAACUGAACAUCAUAAGUGUAC